UACGAAGGGGGCUAGCGUUGCUCGGAAUCACUGGGCGUAAAGGGCGCGUAGGCGGCCAUUCAAGUCAGAGGUGAAAGCCCAAGGCUCAACCUUGGAAUUGCCUUUGAUACUGUUUGGCUUGAGACCGGAAGAGGUAAGUGGAACUGCGAGUGUAGAGGUGAAAUUCGUAGAUAUUCGCAAGAACACCAGUGGCGAAGGCGGCUUACUGGUCCGGUUCUGACGCUGAGGCGCGAACGCGUGGGGAGCAAACAGG
rnacentral:rRNA from 1 species